UUUCCACACAGAGUCUGCCCCAGGCUAGACCACCCUAGGAAAAGUGAACAAGUCGCCUGAUUUGGCCUUCAGUUUAUCGAGGCCAGAAUAUGAAAGGCAACUCAGUCCUGGGGCUCGAGGGCAGCUUAACCUGGGAGGAAAAGUCCGCAGCUUCCUCUGUCUUGUGAUGUGAGGGGCUCUAGAGAGAGCCCCCAAAUGCCUCUCCCGCCAGCCUAUCCAAUCUUGCAUGAUGUCACCGAGUGGUUUUGUGGGAUCUUCAUGGAAUGUUAGAGCUGAUCCGGACCGUGCAAGAUUACACACUCAAAGCCGCCACUGUAUAGAGAAAGACAGAAGCUGAGACCCAGAAAAAGGAAGUCACAGGCCCAAAGUCAUACAGGUGGCAGCCGAACCAAGACAGCUCUUGGGUUUUCACGUCUGUCACUGUAAAAUGAAGGAGGUUAGAUUCGACGGACUCUGAAAGCCCAGCCAGCCGCGCCCUUACACAGAUAAAACCAUCACCACAUCUGUGGAAUGUUCUAGGGCCAGGCACUGCAUAAUUUUCUUCUUUAAUUUUUACAGCAAAGCUAUGAUAGUGUUGAAGCCAUGCCUGUAUUUAUACCCAGUCUAUCCAAAUAGGUUGAUUUGUAACAUAGUCUAUUUCUACAUAAAAUAUCAACGCAACUGCUGGAAGCCAUUCUGCUACUCGCAUCAUUUCCUUGGGUCUCAGGCCCUUUCAGCCUUUUAGGUGCUCCUGAGGCCAGGACCCUGGGGAGAGAGAAUGUUUUAGACUGCAGGGUUAGCUAGGCCCUGAGCAGCGUCCACACAUUGAACUGAGGUUUCUUAUGAAGUCACCCAGUGGAGGCAUUGCAGGUCUGGAGUUCAGGACAACAAUCAGAUGUCCCUUGGCCAUGGCACAGUUCCUAUAACCACAACCCUAGGCUGGCCCGAUCCAGCUGCUGCAGGAAGAGGAGGGAGAGCCCAGAGGAUCAGCACCCACAGCAAAGCUAUUGCACAACCCUUGGGGCUUGGCCUUGGGCGAUCCACCCUAGUUCUAAAGUUUUUUUCUGUGUAUGAUUCCUUCCUCUUCUGUUCCCUCCCCUCUUCUCAAGCUCUGGGCUGUCCCAGCUCCCAAAGUCAACACCGAGACCCCGGAUGUGUCCAGGGACAUCCUGACGAGGCCGAGGGGCUGAGGAGCCCUAGGGUGUUCCCAGGGAGAUUCCUGAAGCUGACUAGGAGCCAGUACAUUUGCCUGCUGUUUGCGAGUAGGAAGCAAGGCUGUCUUUGGCUAUUUCUACCUUGUGGACGAAGGAUCUCUGAGAGGAAGGCAAAGGAGCAUCUAUUACCGCCUACUAGAUGCCACACUGUACACAGCGACGUUGUUUUGGAAGGCAGGAUAAUUGAGGGGCUAGUGGCUUGUCUCUCUGGGGCAGGCAAAACCCCAAACCCGCCUGCGUGCUCCUUUCACUGCUGCCCUGGGGCCCUGCGCCUGCGCUCGUUACCAGCCUCUUCCUGCUUCCCUGGCCACCUCUGUUUCAGCAGAGUCCCCAUUACUAGCUAGGAGUACCUGGAGUAGGACAUAGGAUGCCUUAGAGGGCAAAUGACCCAGCCUCUGGCCUCCAGGUAGGGGGAAAUCCGAGCCAUCCCCAAACACCUUCUGCAUGGUGUCUGUGGAGUCUCCGAAAGAACCGUGCUGAGGGAGGGCUCUGAGGAAUGUCCCCUGAUGGUGCCACACAGUCCUGCCGAGAGCUGGCCCGGAGGCCCGAGGCGCUCCGAGCCGGCCAUCACAAAGCCGGGCUCCGUCUCGGCUCCACCUCCCAGGUUCUCUGUCAUCAUGGCCAAGCCACCUGCGCUCGCUGGGCCUCCGUUUCUGUGUGUGAAAUGGAAGAAGUCAGAUUAAACAGUCCCUAAGGUCCUUGUAGCCUAAAGCUCAGCGACUCACAGAAUCCAAAGAAAGGAGAGGUCAGCGUGGCUAUACGGCCAAGGAAGACGUUCUUCCCAGGACUUCCUGGGCACUGAGGGCUGUGACACGUGCUCCUGUGCGGCCGUGAGUAAGAGAGUCAUGGUCCCUGCCUUCCUUGGGCUUGCGGUCUCGUGGAGAAAGAGACGGGUAAACACGCAGUCAGAGAAGUGGUGCCGGGGUUUCAGCUGGGUCGAAAGCAGCGGGGAGGCCACUCGAGCUGCCAGUAAUGGGAGCAUCCUUUCUCUUCUGUCACCACCAGAGCAUCCUCUGAUCCUUCCCCGCCUUCCCCCCUGUUGCCAUGGAGACCACGAAUGGGACCGAGACCUGGUAUGAGAGCCUGCACGCUGUGCUGAAGGCUCUCAAUGCCACUCUUCACAGCAACUUGCUCUGCCGGCCGGGACCAGACCACCUGACUGAGGAGCGGCGGGCCGGCCUACCUGGGCGGGAUGACAACUCCUACAUGUACAUUCUCUUUGUCAUGUUCCUCUUUGCUGCCACCGUGGGCAGCCUCAUCCUGGGGUACACCCGCUCCCGCAAAGUGGACAAGCGCAGCGACCCCUAUCAUGUCUACAUCAAGAACCGCGUGUCUAUGAUCUGA
rnacentral:lncRNA from 1 species